UUGCAUUGAGGAAGGAAUUUUGUCCCACAAUGUUGAAUUCCUUAAAUCCUCUGAAGGGUGUUAAGUACAGUGUUGAAUUUUUGUGAGUUAUCUAAAUAAAAAAUGUAAAGGUAAUGUAUGUUUUCAUCUUAUUGUUGGCUAUUCGUAGCACCCUACAAUGGAUUGUAUUCUCGUAUUUUGUGGUGACUUGAGUUCACAUAUUCCAGUAUUUCUUCCCACAUUGCCUCUUCGCCAAUGAAGUCGUUCAUGGUUAAUAACACUAUAAACAUAUAAUAUGAACUUUAGUGCAGAAUUAUCAAUAUGACCCUUGUAAACCUUGUGGAACUGAGAAAGACUAUCCUAAUUUGUAAUCGUCUAUUACUAGCUCAACUGACCAUUAUCGGAUAACAUAAAUCUGACUACGAUAAAUUCUUCUUUUUCUUUGUCGACAAACAACUUAUAAAACUUUUGAUGUAAACAAA